GAUGAACGCUAGCGGCAGGCUUAAUACAUGCAAGUCAAACGGGAUUAGUAGCAAUACUAAUUCAGUGGCGGACGGGUGAGUAACGCGUACACAACCUACCUUUCAGAGGGGGAUAGCAUCUGGAAACGGGUGGUAAUACCGCAUAGUUUUGGGUAAUGGCAUCAUUGUUCAAAUAAGCUACGGCGCUGAGAGAUGGGUGUGCGUAUGAUUAGGUAGUUGGUAGGGUAAAGGCCUACCAAGCCGACGAUCAUUAGGGGGUGUGAGAGCAUGGCCCCCCACACGGGUACUGAGACACGGACCCGACUCCUACGGGAGCAGCAGUAGGAAUAUUGGUCAAUGGACGGAAGUCUGAACCAGCCAUGCCGCGUGCCAGGAAGAAGGCGCUCUGCGUU
rnacentral:rRNA from 1 species